UGCCAGACUCCUACGGGAGGCAGCAGUGGGGAAUAUUGCACAAUGGGGGAAACCCUGAUGCAGCGACGCCGCGUGAGUGAAGAAGUAUUUCGGUAUGUAAAGCUCUAUCAGCAGGGAAGAAAAUGACGGUACCUGAUUAAGAAGCCCCGGCUAACUACGUGCCAGCAGCCGCGGUAAUACGUAGGGGGCAAGCGUUAUCCGGAUUUACUGGGUGUAAAGGGAGCGUAGACGGCAGCACAAGUCUGGAGUGAAAUGCCGGGGCCCAACCCCGGGACUGCUCUGGAAACUGUUAAGCUGGAGUGCGGGAGGGGCAGGCGGAAUUCCUGGUGUAGCGGUGAAAUGCGUAGAUAUCAGGAGGAACACCGGCGGCGAAGGCGGCCUGCUGGACCGUGACUGACGUUGAGGCUCGAAAGCGUGGGGAGCAAACAGGAUUAGAUACCCCAGUA
rnacentral:rRNA from 1 species